rnacentral:rRNA from 1 species
GAUGAACGCUGGCGGCGUGCCUAAUACAUGCAAGUCGAGCGAACGGACGAGAAGCUUGCUUCUCUGAUGUUAGCGGCGGACGGGUGAGUAACACGUGGAUAACCUACCUAUAAGACUGGGAUAACUUCGGGAAACCGGAGCUAAUACCGGAUAAUAUUUUGAACCGCAUGGUUCAAAAGUGAAAGACGGUCUUGCUGUCACUUAUAGAUGGAUCCGCGCUGCAUUAGCUAGUUGGUAAGGUAACGGCUUACCAAGGCAACGAUGCAUAGCCGACCUGAGAGGGUGAUCGGCCACACUGGAACUGAGACACGGUCCAGACUCCUACGGGAGGCAGCAGUAGGGAAUCUUCCGCAAUGGGCGAAAGCCUGACGGAGCAACGCCGCGUGAGUGAUGAAGGUCUUCGGAUCGUAAAACUCUGUUAUUAGGGAAGAACAUAUGUGUAAGUAACUGUGCACAUCUUGACGGUACCUAAUCAGAAAGCCACGGCUAACUACGUGCCAGCAGCCGCGGUAAUACGUAGGUGGCAAGCGUUAUCCGGAAUUAUUGGGCGUAAAGCGCGCGUAGGCGGUUUUUUAAGUCUGAUGUGAAAGCCCACGGCUCAACCGUGGAGGGUCAUUGGAAACUGGAAAACUUGAGUGCAGAAGAGGAAAGUGGAAUUCCAUGUGUAGCGGUGAAAUGCGCAGAGAUAUGGAGGAACACCAGUGGCGAAGGCGACUUUCUGGUCUGUAACUGACGCUGAUGUGCGAAAGCGUGGGGAUCAAACAGGAUUAGAUACCCUGGUAGUCCACGCCGUAAACGAUGAGUGCUAAGUGUUAGGGGGUUUCCGCCCCUUAGUGCUGCAGCUAACGCAUUAAGCACUCCGCCUGGGGAGUACGACCGCAAGGUUGAAACUCAAAGGAAUUGACGGGGACCCGCACAAGCGGUGGAGCAUGUGGUUUAAUUCGAAGCAACGCGAAGAACCUUACCAAAUCUUGACAUCCUUUGACAACUCUAGAGAUAGAGUUUUCCCCUUCGGGGGACAAAGUGACAGGUGGUGCAUGGUUGUCGUCAGCUCGUGUCGUGAGAUGUUGGGUUAAGUCCCGCAACGAGCGCAACCCUUAAGCUUAGUUGCCAUCAUUAAGUUGGGCACUCUAAGUUGACUGCCGGUGACAAACCGGAGGAAGGUGGGGAUGACGUCAAAUCAUCAUGCCCCUUAUGAUUUGGGCUACACACGUGCUACAAUGGACAAUACAAAGGGCAGCGAAACCGUGAGGUCAAGCAAAUCCCAUAAAGUUGUUCUCAGUUCGGAUUGUAGUCUGCAACUCGAUUACAUGAAGCUGGAAUCGCUAGUAAUCGUAGAUCAGCAUGCUACGGUGAAUACGUUCCCGGGCCU